GAGGAAAGCUGGCGGCGUGCCUAAUACAUGCAAGUCGAGCGAACGGACGAGAAGCUUGCUUCUCUGAUGUUAGCGGCGGACGGGUGAGUAACACGUGGAUAACCUACCUAUAAGACUGGGAUAACUUCGGGAAACCGGAGCUAAUACCGGAUAAUAUUUUGAACCGCAUGGUUCAAAAGUGAAAGACGGUCUUGCUGUCACUUAUAGAUGGAUCCGCGCUGCAUUAGCUAGUUGGUAAGGUAACGGCUUACCAAGGCAACGAUGUAUAGCCGACCUGAGAGGGUGAUCGGCCACACUGGAACUGAGACACGGUCCAGACUCCUACGGGAGGCAGCAGUAGGGAAUCUUCCGCAAUGGGCGAAAGCCUGACGGAGCAACGCCGCGUGAGUGAUGAAGGUCUUCGGAUCGUAAAACUCUGUUAUUAGGGAAGAACAUAUGUGUAAGUAACUGUGCACAUCUUGACGGUACCUAAUCAGAAAGCCACGGCUAACUACGUG
rnacentral:rRNA from 1 species